rnacentral:rRNA from 1 species
GAUGAACGCUGGCGGCGUGCCUAAUACAUGCAAGUCGAGCGAACGGACGAGAAGCUUGCUUCUCUGAUGUUAGCGGCGGACGGGUGAGUAACACGUGGAUAACCUACCUAUAAGACUGGGAUAACUUCGGGAAACCGGAGCUAAUACCGGAUAAUAGUUUGAACCGCAUGGUUCAAAAGUGAAAGACGGUCUUGCUGUCACUUAUAGAUGGAUCCGCGCUGCAUUAGCUAGUUGGUAAGGUAACGGCGUACCAAGGCAACGAUGCAUAGCCGACCUGAGAGGGUGAUCGGCCACACUGGAACUGAGACACGGUCCAGACUCCUACGGGAGGCAGCAGUAGGGAAUCUUCCGCAAUGGGCGAAAGCCUGACGGAGCAACGCCGCGUGAGUGAUGAAGGUCUUCGGAUCGUAAAACUCUGUUAUUAGGGAAGAACAUAUGUGUAAGUAACUGUGCACAUCUUGACGGUACCUAAUCAGAAAGCCACGGCUAACUACGUG